rnacentral:rRNA from 1 species
CCUACGGGAGGCAGCAGUGAGGAAUAUUGGUCAAUGGGCGCGAGCCUGAACCAGCCACGUAGCGUGAAGGAUGACUGCCCUACGGGUUGUAAACUUCUUUUAUAAAGGAAUACAGUGAGGCACGUGUGCCUUUUUGUAUGUACUUUAUGAAUAAGGAUCGGCUAACUCCGUGCCAGCAGCCGCGGUAAUACGGUGGAUCCGAGCGUUAUCCGGUUUUAUUGGGUUUAAAGGGAGCGUAGAUGGGUUGUUAAGUCAGUUGUGAAAGUUUGCGGCUCAACCGUAAAAUUGCAAUUGAUACUGGCAGCCUUGAGUACAGUUGAGGUAGGCGGAAUUCGAGGUGUAGCGGUGAAAUGCUUAGAUAUCACGAAGAACUCCGAUUGCGAAGGCAGCUUACUAAGCUGCCACUGACAUUGAUGCUCGAAAGUGUGGGUAUCAAACAGGAUUAGAUACCCCAGUAGUC